rnacentral:tRNA from 1 species
GCCUGGGUGGCUCAGUCGGUUAAGCGGCCGACUUCGGCUCAGGUCAUGAUCUCGCGGUCCGUGGGUUCGAGCCCCGCGUCAGGCU